AAAAACUAAAACGUGGGAUGGAAACGUAAUGACAUGAAUCAACACCUGGAAGAAAUUUAGGCUGGUAAGAAUCAUUUAAUAUUAAGAUUCUGGAACUGAGGUAUUCUGAGAGUUCUGAAACGUGUCAUAGCUGACAACAGCAUUUUUCAAGUGCUUUUGAACAGCAACAAGACUAUCCUGGUCAUUGUGUACCAAGUAGGUAAGAAAUGAGCGCAUUUGUUUAACCUAUUACACGUAGUGUACAUUAUGAAUAAUUGUAUUGGCAAUGAAUGUUUAUUUUAAGUUACUGAAGACUUUUACACAAUACUUCUGUGAUCCAGAGGUUUUGGGAUGGAGAAGACGGAGAUGGCUCACGCUGCACAACAGCCCACCUUGGAUGACUCACAGAGCGAGUUGGAGGAGGAUGAUGAUGAUGAUGGCUUUGUUGGGGGGACCGGAGUGCAGUCAGACAAGGGACAGAGUGGCAUGGAGUCAGAGGGUGUGGAUGAAGAGGAUGACGAUGAAGAGGCAGGACCUGCAGCCCAACCCAAGGAGAAGGGUAAGGAGGAUUCCUUUGCCCGGAUGCUUUCUAUCUGGGGCACCACCAAGUACAUCAGCAAGUGGAAGAUGGCCCAUCGGAGAGGCUACCACAUCAACUGCCUGACCGAUGACCCCGAACGCAAGGCCAUGAUCAUGCAGCAUGAGCUGGACUGCAAAACCAGUAUUCCCCUCCCUAUGGUGUGUAUGAUUGAGAAGGAGACCCUGCAGAUUCUUCAAAAUAUUGAGAAUGAUUACAAGUACAAGUUGGGCGCCAGCCACCAUCUGACGAAAGAGCUCCAUGAGCGUAUUGAGAGCCUGAAGUGCCAGGUAUCCUCCAAGGUUAGGCACAGUGAGCCGGCCCCAGAGGGAGGAGUGCUGGCGACCCUGGUGGGGUGGGGCAGGGCACUGUCUGCUAUGCUGGGUUGGCGCAGUGGCGCCUCAGCUACUAAAGACGAGAAUGCUCUACCCUGCAAGGAGUGUCCCCUUGAAACAGACGACACAAAAUAA
rnacentral:lncRNA from 1 species